UGAACGCUGGCGGCGUGCCUAAUACAUGCAAGUCGAGCGAACGGACGAGAAGCUUGCUUUUCUGAUGUUAGCGGCGGACGGGUGAGUAACACGUGGAUAACCUACCUAUAAGACUGGGAUAACUUCGGGAAACCGGAGCUAAUACCGGAUAAUAUUUUGAACCGCAUGGUUCAAAAGUGAAAGACGGUCUUGCUGUCACUUAUAGAUGGAUCCGCGCUGCAUUAGCUAGUUGGUAAGGUAACGGCUUACCAAGGCAACGAUGCAUAGCCGACCUGAGAGGGGGAACGGCCACACUGGAACUGAGACACGGUCCAGACUCCUACGGGAGGCAGCAGUAGGGAAUCUUCCGCAAUGGGCGAAAGCCUGACGGAGCAACGCCGCGUGAGUGAUGAAGGUCUUCGGAUCGUAAAACUCUGUUAUUAGGGAAGAACAUAUGUGUAAGUAACUGUGCACAUCUUGACGGUACCUAAUCAGAAAGCCACGGCUAACUACGUG
rnacentral:rRNA from 1 species